CUGACGUUUAAGCUGUUCUAUAUGCACCCAGAAAUGUGUGUCUAUGACAAGAAAAUACAAGCUUUUUUCAACUGUAUACUGUAAACCUCUGAAUAUGAUGCUCACCUCAUUCCAAAUAUAAGCCCCCCCUCAAUAUAAGCCCCCCUGAAUAUAAGUCUCCUGAAUAUUAGCCCCCCUAAAUAUAGCAGAGAACGAUAUUUGAAACACUGUCAUUGUCUUUAUACCUUACUAUGUUAAUGGAAGUGUGUUAUUAAUACAUGUUUAUUUUCCUGUUUAUGAGUGACUGACUUGUGUAUAAUUACUAACACAAUUGAUUGUCCAUGUAUAAGGCCCCCAUGCAUAUAAGCCCCCCCCCCCUAAGCCCAUGAAAAAUUGCUUCAAAAGAAUAUAAGCCCAGGGCUUAUAGUCAGAGGUAGUAUAUAUCACACAUUUUAACAAUACACAUUAUUUUUUAUAUUAUAUUACAUUAACAUAUAUACAUGGUCACAUGGACCACGUAUAAAGUCUUUAAAUGACAGUACAUUGUGUUUGUAAUUAGAAUUACUAUAAUUACUUGUGUCAAAAGUAAGAAAUGAAGUGAACAAAUCCAUAUAUAUUUGUUGAAAAAUUCUUGGAGUGGGUAUCUUCCAUUUGCUUUUCAUGCUUCACACUGUGUAUCUUUGGACAUUUAAUCAGCAACUAAUUAUAGGAAAGGAUAUAUUUACUAGCUCAUUUCUCCAUAUUACCAGGCACAUAACAUGCAAUACAUUGACCUUGAAAUCCAUGUUUUAACCCCUGCAGUUGCCCCCUCUCCUGCAGCAUGUUUGGGAAGGGAGAGGAAGGAAUGAAGGUACUGUAAUUUCUAUAUUUAGCUCCCUUCUCUUCAAGCCCCUCUCCAAUAACCCCCC
rnacentral:lncRNA from 1 species